CAGUAGCCACGGGAAUACGAAGGGGGCUAGCGUUGUUCGGAUUUACUGGGCGUAAAGCGCACGUAGGCGGACUUUUAAGUCAGGGGUGAAAUCCCGGGGCUCAACCCCGGAACUGCCUUUGAUACUGGAAGUCUUGAGUAUGGUAGAGGUGAGUGGAAUUCCGAGUGUAGAGGUGAAAUUCGUAGAUAUUCGGAGGAACACCAGUGGCGAAGGCGGCUCACUGGACCAUUACUGACGCUGAGGUGCGAAAGCGUGGGGAGCAAACAGGAUUAGAUACCCGUGUAGUCCCUGUCUCUUAUAA
rnacentral:rRNA from 1 species